GGUCCGAUGCCACGUCGCCGGUAGCUAUUUGGCAAUGGCCGGCGAUGCUAUGAUUGGACCGAGAUCGAAAUUUAUUGUUUCGCUGCCUGAUAGGAAUCUGUGGAUCUGAUUUCUCUCGAUCUAUGGAGCCGUUUUCGGCGAUUACAUUU